UCGGGUUGUAAAGCACUUUUGUCCGGAAAGAAAACCUUCGCUCGAAUACAGUGGGGGGAUGACGGUACCGGAAGAAUAAGCACCGGCAACUACGUGCCAGCAGCCGCGGUAAUACGUAGGGUGCGAGCGUUAAUCGGAAUUACUGGGCGUAAAGCGUGCGCAGGCGGUUCGUUAAGACAGAUGUGAAAUCCCCGGGCUUAACCUGGGAACUGCAUUUGUGACUGGCGAGCUAGAGUAUGGCAGAGGGGGGUAGAAUUCCACGUGUAGCAGUGAAAUGCGUAGAGAUGUGGAGGAAUACCGAUGGCGAAGGCAGCCCCCUGGGCCAAUACUGACGCUCAUGCACGAAAGCGUGGGGAGCAAACAGGAUUAGAUACCCUGGUAGUCCACGCCCUAAACGAUGUCAACUAGUUGUUGGGGAUUCAUUUCCUUAGUAACGUAGCUAACGCGUGAAGUUGACCGCCUGGGGAGUACGGUCGCAAGAUUAAAACUCAAAGGAAUUGACGGGGACCCGCACAAGCGGUGGAUGAUGUGGAUUAAUUCGAUGCAACGCGAAAAACCUUACCUACCCUUGACAUGGUCGGAACCCUGCUG
rnacentral:rRNA from 1 species